AGUAACUGCGGUCACGUGAGCACUGUUUUCGCUGGGCUCUGGCAGCGGCUUCCUCACGGAGAGUUGCAGUCGCUGUCGUCUCUCGGUCUCCCGUUAGCCCGAUGGAGGUGGAGGAGGAGGAAGUGAGGGCGCUGCUGCCCGGCGGCCCCGACGAGGCCGGCAGAGGCGCCCCCGUUACACCCCCUGCCCCCGGGGCGCUGCCGGCCCUCUGCGACCCAAGUCGCCUGGCGCACCGGCUUUUGGUGCUGUUGCUGAUGUGCUUCCUUGGUUUCGGCAGCUAUUUUUGCUAUGAUAAUCCUGCUGCCCUUCAGACUCAGGUUAAACGGGAUAUGCAGGUGAAUACCACGAAAUUCAUGCUGCUGUAUGCCUGGUAUUCUUGGCCCAAUGUAGUUUUGUGUUUCUUUGGUGGCUUUUUGGUAGACCGCGUAUUUGGAAUACGAUGGGGCACCAUUAUUUUUAGUUGCUUUGUUUGCGUUGGACAGGUUGUUUUUGCUCUGGGUGGAAUAUUUAGUGCUUUUUGGCUGAUGGAAUUUGGAAGGUUUGUGUUUGGGAUUGGUGGGGAGUCCUUAGCAGUUGCCCAGAAUACAUAUGCUGUGAGUUGGUUUAAAGGCAAAGAAUUAAACUUGGUGUUUGGACUCCAGCUUAGCAUGGCUAGAAUUGGAAGUACAGUAAACAUGAACCUCAUGGGAUGGCUGUAUUCUAAGGUUGAAGCUUCGUUGGGUUCUGCUGGUCACACAACCCUUGGGGUCACACUUAUUAUCGGGGGUAUAACAUGUAUUCUUUCACUAGUCUGUGCCUUGGCCCUUGCGUACUUGGAUCAGAGAGCAGAACGAAUCCUUCAUAAAGAACAAGGAAAAACAGGUGAAGUUAUCAAGUUAACUGACGUGAAGGACUUCUCCUUCCCCCUGUGGCUCAUAUUCAUCAUCUGCGUCGGCUAUUAUGUUGCUGUGUUCCCUUUCAUUGGACUUGGGAAAGUUUUCUUUACAGAGAAAUUUGGAUUUUCCUCCCAGGCAGCGAGUGCUAUUAACAGUAUUGUAUAUGUAAUAUCAGCUCCCAUGUCCCCAAUAUUUGGGCUUCUGGUGGAUAAAACAGGAAAGAACAUCAUCUGGGUUCUGUGUGCAGUGGUGACCGCUCUUGCUUCCCACAUGAUGCUGGCCUUCACUCUGUGGAACCCUUGGAUUGCUAUGUGUCUCCUGGGACUCUCCUACUCAUUGCUUGCCUGUGCAUUGUGGCCAAUGGUGGCGUUUGUAGUUCCCGAACAUCAACUGGGAACUGCAUAUGGCUUCAUGCAGUCCAUUCAGAAUCUUGGGUUGGCAGUCAUUUCCAUCAUUGCUGGCAUGAUAUUGGAUACUUGGGGAUAUCUGUUUUUAGAAGUUUUCUUCAUUGCCUGUGUUUCUUGUAAGUGCGCCACCUGGCAACAUUUAGUUUCUUUUAAUAUGCAGCAGAAUGUUCUCAUUUAUACUUUCAGGUUUUUGUUGUUAUUGUUCUUUUUUCCCCUUUUUUAAACCAAAUCCCUAAGAUGUAUCAUUCAGAUUUGCCUAAUUCUUAGCCUGUGCAUCAGUUUCUCAGCUGGUGACUUUUUAGUUUUCUGAAGAUUCACAGGAUUUUUUCAGGAGAUUCCUGUUCUUAAAGGCAGGAAUGGAAUCUGCUCUAUAUUCUGUUUUAAAUAUUUAUUUUUUUUUUAAUGGUAAAUGUCAUGUUAUGUAUUUUUAAUUAUAAUAGAAAAAAGAAUGUAGUAUGGAUACAUGUUACAAUAUCAGUGAACAUUAAAAACAUCCUUAGUGAAAAAAGCCAUACAGAACAGGCCACCCAGAUCCCAUACUCAUCUUGUCUGUUUCAUAAAUAUUUAUGGUUGUUAGAAAACACUUUCCUCUUUAGAGUGGAACCAUUUGAAGGGUCCUGAGUAUGUCCCUGGUGUGAAUGUGUGGACAUUAGUGUGGCUUAGGUGUGAGCGCUCAUUGUUUAUUCAUUAGUCUGUUUUGAAUUGGUUUUAUUCUUAGUCAUGUAAUUUAAUUUUUACCUGUAAUGAUUCAUUGGUUAAAAAUAGGCAGCAUUAGGAAACUGCCGAAAACUACAAAAAUAAAUCAGUAUUUUUCCACUGUGUUCUCCUUACACAUCAAUUGUGUUCAUCUGAAAAAAAAUGUUCACAUAACAUAUCAGAUGUCUUUCAUGCUUCGAUAAAUUGUGUUUAAAAUGGCAAGCCCGAGUAAUGAUUUUAUCUGACUUCAUUUUCAUUUACAGGAAUAAAGACUGUCUAUACUUGAGUCUCACUUUUAUCUGUGCUCUUACUCUACUUGGUGAAUCGUGCCCAAGGUGGGAACCUAAAUUAUUCUGCAAGACAAAGGGAAGAAAUAAAACUUUCUCAUGCAGAGUGAGAAGUUUAAAUGACUGUGUCAUGCGAAUGGGCUGCACACAUCAUUGGUUUGAAAACCUCCAUUUUUUUUUUUU